rnacentral:lncRNA from 1 species
CAAAGCCAUCGCUUGCUGGCAGGCCUUAGGUGUUGGCCUUACAGUUUUAGCUAACGUCAUCUCAUUUGCAGGGACAGCAGGUUAUGAAGCCACAGAAAUAUCCAGACAAUAACCAUUAAUCUUCUAAAACACAGGGCUACCACAGCCUGCUGGAACAUGCACAGAGACAGAACAGAACUCCGAAUAAACAAGGACUUCCUUUCAGUCCCUCACAAAGAUGAUAAAGUGGAUGCCAUGGAAGGCAAGAGGACGUCAACGUUCUCUGAAGCAGCACACAGAUCUGCCUGCCAGCACCAUGGAGACAGGCUGCAGUGUGCGGCCGUGUCCUUCUGUUCCUCCUGUCCCUGUCUCCACACCUGGGUUAGUCAGGGACAUUCAAACAACCCACACCGACAUAUUCUGACCACAUUCACCCUGCCAGCUCCAAGAAGAUACCUUCACGCUUCUUGCUGGACAUGGCUGGGGCCAGGUGCCCCAAGCAGAAGGACAGCAGUGGACUAGGAGCAACCUCAGCCAGGCUGCCCAGGGAGAUGGUGAAGUCACCAUCCCCAGAGGCAUUGAAGAAACAUGUAGAUGUGGUACUUCGGGACACGGCUUAGUUGACAAUAUUAGUGGUAGGCAGACGGUUGGACUAUAUCUUAAAGGUCUCUUCCAACCUUGUUGAUUCUACCAUUCUCUCUGGGCACAUCCCAAGGAGACAGAGGAGCCUUGAAAACACUGCUGAGCUCCAUAUUCUGGUCCUAUACGUCCUUCAUGGAAAUAAUAAUCUCAGAUGGGGAUAUAAACCGUAAUCUAUGAUCAGAUGGAAAACAGACUGCUACAGUGUCACAGAAUACAUACAUAUAUUUAGGAAGAACACGGAUAUAUAAUCACUUAAUGAAAGUUUGCAUUUUCACAGAACUAUCUUGACAUUGUAGUCAUGCUUCAAAGUACUAACUAUCAAGGAGGUCUAUAAUUCCAGGAAAUCAAGAACUUCACUCUAAAUGGGAAUAGCCUGUCAGAUGGAGGUUUCUUUUUCACAAAUCCUAGGAAUUGCAGUGCAAUGUAGUACAAUGGAUAGGAGACAUGGAUACUGCUGUUUUCUUGUGUUACUGCUCACGCUUUCACUACAAAACAGUUUUUCUUUCCUCUUGUUUGAAAUUAUGUAUUCAGACGCUGGUCAGCUCUGAAGCAUUCAGUGCAACCGAAAAGGAACUCCUAAUUUCU